rnacentral:ncRNA from 2 species
GCACGUUCUCAGGGCGGGGUGGAACUCCCCACCGGCGGUAGGGGCGGCAACGCCCGAGCCCGCGAGCGCCAUCGUCGAAGGUGACGAUGGGUCAGCAGAUCCGGUCGAACUCCGGAGCCGACGGUCACAGUCCGGAUGGAAGAGAGCGGCG